GACGAACGCUGGCGGCGUGCUUAACACAUGCAAGUCUACGAGAAAGAGGUAGCAAUACUUCCGGUAAAGUGGCGCAAGGGUGAGUAACACGUAAGUAAUCUGCCCAUAGAAGUGGAAUAACGUAGAGAAAUUUGCGCUAAUACCGCAUGAUGCAGCGGCACCGCAUGGUGAUGUUGUUAAAGUAUAAUUUACGUCUAUGGAUGAGCUUGCGUCUGAUUAGCUAGUUGGUAAGGUAACGGCUUACCAAGGCAACGAUCAGUAGCUGGUCUGAGAGGAUGAUCAGCCACACUGGAACUGAGACACGGUCCAGACUCCUACGGGUGGCAG
rnacentral:rRNA from 1 species